rnacentral:lncRNA from 1 species
CCCCUAAGCAGUUUCCUGUGCUCUGGUGAUGGGCAGAACGGCACAGACAAUGAGGGAACAUGACUGGAAUACGGAGGCAGCCGUCCUUGCUGCUCGGCGUCCGUAUGGAGAGAGGUGCUCGGCGAUCUUCCCAACAACGAAAGAACACUGUGUGCUCCCGGAUGCUGCAGUCUUUGCAUGAUGCCAGCUAACUACCUGAGAGAUCAAGCUUGAGCUGUGGCCCCGUAAGAACACCAGAACACUGCAUGAGGACAGUCUUUCGACCCUGUGCUACACCUUCUGCAUCUGAGGGUAACCCGGAUCCAGUAAGAGCAUCUCCAAUCAUCGUUUUCCAGUGCCUGGGGGCAGGAACGUGGCUUUCAGAUCUCCAACAGCAGGCUGACCUGGACUGCUUUUUGCAAUGUGUGAGCAAGGUAUUUCAGAUCUGGCUACACUGCUCUAGCAGCAUUCCCUUGUCUUCUCCAUGAUGAAUGUGAACUAGAAAGGAUCAGAUCUGUUAAAAAAAAAAAGUCUCUAAAAUAGGACAGAGCUAGACACCAUAAUAACAAAAUAUGCCACCAUGAAAACCCCUGCUCAGCCUUUACCUAACCUUAGGAGCACUUGAACUCACUCAGAGCCUCCCUUUCUCAUCUGUGGUUUCUCUGCUGCUGCACAUGACCCGGACCUUCUUCAUCCUUACACUUGAUGCUUUGCUCUCGUAUGAUUUUUCUUACCCAACAACUAGACAGAGCCAGGCUUAAAUCUCUUCAGGUCCUAAAUCACUGGCUAUAUUCUGCAUUCCUCAAACACCCA